rnacentral:rRNA from 1 species
UGAGGAAUAUUGGUCAAUGGGCGGGAGCCUGAACCAGCCAAGCCGCGUGAGGGAAGAAGGCCCUAUGGGUCGUAAACCUCUUUUGUCAGGGAACAAAAGCGAGUAUGUAUACUAGUCUGAGUGUACCUGAAGAAAAAGCAUCGGCUAACUCCGUGCCAGCAGCCGCGGUAAUACGGAGGAUGCGAGCGUUAUCCGGAUUUAUUGGGUUUAAAGGGUGCGUAGGCGGCGAUGCAAGUCAGCGGUAAAAGCCCGGGGCUCAACCCCGGCGAGCCGUUGCAAACUGACAGUGCUAGAGAAGGCGAGAGGUACGCGAUGCGCAGUGUAGCGGUGAAAGAUGCUUAGAUAUUGCGCAGAACUCCGAUUGCGAAGGCAGCGUACUGGCGCCUGACCGACGCUGAGGCACGAAAGCGUGGGGGAUCGAACAGGAUUAGAUACC